UCAAAAACAUCGCCUCUUGCAAAACUGAAGUAUAAGAGGUCCCGCCUGCCCAGUGACACCCAGUUCAACGGCCGCGGUAUUUUGACCGUGCAAAGGUAGCGUAAUCACUUGUCUCUUAAAUGGAGACCUGUAUGAAUGGCAUAACGAGGGCUUAACUGUCUCCUCUCUCAAGUCAAUGAAGUUGAUCUCCCCGUGCAGAAGCGGGGAUAUUCACAUAAGACGAGAAGACCCUAUGGAGCUUGAGACGAUAGGGCAGCCCAUGUUAAGUACCCCCCUCACCGGACCAAACUAAAUGACCCCUGCUCUAAUGUCUUCGGUUGGGGCGACCCUGGGGAAUACAAAACCCCCAUGUGGAAUAGGAGCACCCCCCCCUUAACUCCUCCAAAUGAGAGCCACACCUCCAAUUAACAGAACUUUUGACCAAAAAUGAUCCGGCAAAGCCGAUCAACGGACCAAGUUACCCUAGGGAUAACAGCGCAAUCCCCUUUUAGAGCCCUUAUCGACAAGGGGGUUUACGACCUCGAUGUUGGAUCAGGACAUCCUAAUGGUGCAGCCGCUAUUAAGGGUUCGUUUGUUCAACGAUUAAAGUCCUACGUGAUCUGAGU
rnacentral:rRNA from 1 species